rnacentral:rRNA from 1 species
UACGGGGGGGGCAAGCGUUGUUCGGAAUUACUGGGCGUAAAGGGCGCGUAGGCGGCCUUCUAAGUCGGACGUGAAAUCCCUCGGCUCAACCGAGGAACUGCGUCCGAUACUGAAAGGCUUGAAUCCGGGAGAGGGAUGUGGAAUUCCAGGUGUAGCGGUGAAAUGCGUAGAUAUCUGGAGGAACACCGGUGGCGAAGGCGGCAUCCUGGACCAACAUUGACGCUGAGGAGCGAAAGCCAGGGGAGCAAACGGG